AAGACUGGGAGAGGUCUUGUUUCUGCCUUUUGUUUUUUCCUGAGCUCCUGGCAUGAAGGAAAUCUCUGUGAAAACACUAGUUGAACACAAGCUAAGGAAUGGAGACUUCUGUGGUACCUUGACAAGGAACACAGACUUGCAAAAACAGCUUUAUAAAUAUCACUAAGCCUACAGUGAUUGGGGAAAAAAGAGGCAUACUCUGGGGAAGGGGAGAAUCUGAUGGCCUGAGUUAACACAUUAAAAUAUUUAAAUGUCCAGAUUUCAGCAGAAAAUCACAAGGCACACAGAGGAAUAGCAAAGGAUGGCCCUUUCGAAGGAACAAACUAAAGCAACAGAAAACAUCUCUGGGGAAGCCCAGAUACUGCAAUUACUAAUUACAGACACUGAGACAACUGUGCUGAAUAUGCUCGAUGAGCUAAGUGAAAAUAUGGGCGAAAAACUGAAGGAAAUCAGGAAAUCGAUACAUGAAGCAAAAGAGAAUUUCAGUAAAGACAUAGGAAUGUUAAAAAAAUAACUGAACAGAAAUUCUGGAGCUGAAAAGUAUAACUGAGAUAAAAAAAUUCCUUGGAGGGGUUCAUCAGCAGGCUUGAACUGGCAGAAGAAUCAGCAAAUUUGAAGAACUACCCAGACUGAGGAACACAAAGAAAAAGAAUAAAGAAAAAGAAUGAAGAAAAGUGAGUGGAACCUAGGGGACCUGUGGGACACCACAGAGCACACGAACACAGAUGCACAGGAGCCCCAGAAGGAGAAAAGAAAGAGAAAAGGGCAGGAAGGAUAUUCAAAGAAAUAUGGCUCAAAACACCAAAUUGACCAAUGACUUGAAUAUACAUAUCUAAGAACUGAACCGCUCCAAUCAGGACAGACUCAAAGACAGUCACAACAAGACACAUUUACUCAAACCGUCAAGUGCCAAAGACCAAAUCCUAAAAGCAGCAAGAGAGGACUCGUCAUCGACAAAGGAUCCUCAGUAAGAGUUACCAACUUCUCAUCAGGAACCAUUUAAGUGCUGAAGGAAAAACUGUCAACAAAGUACACAUCUGCAAAACUGUCUUUUAAAAUGAGGGGGAAAUAAAGACAUUUCCAGGUUAAAGAAAAAGAAAAGCUGAGGGAAUUUGUCACCAGCACACCUGACCUACAAGGACAGCACGGUCCCCCAGGCGGAGAGGAAAGGAAACUAGACACGACUUCAAGUCCUAGAAGACGUAAUUACCCACAGGUGGCAGCAGGAGGAGCCCCGGGCACCCGCACGGCCGACAAGGCGACGCUCCCGGGUGGCGGCAAGUAGCAGCCAGCACAAACCCACCCCCCGGUGCGCCCACAUCCUGCCUGGGGUCCCUGGGCCCCCAGCCCCUGCACAGUAGCAGCAGCCCGGUACACACACUGCGGCGAGGAAGGGAUGCGACUGUGAGCGCGGCAUCAUGAGGAAUAACCGGUCGCUCUCCACCCUGGCUGCGGCAGUGCUGGGAUUACCAUGGGGUCUUGGCUGGAAACUGGGGAAGUUCUAAUGAGGAUUCUGGAACUUGGGGUUUUGCCAUUAAUUACAUCCAGCACGGCUGCAGGUUCCAGCAUCUCCGGGAAAGCUGGUCUCGUGCUGUUGUGCUGUUGUGCUGUUGUGUGUUAUUCCUGUGCUCUGUGACUAGGCAUCGUGCUGGUGCUGAGAGUGGUGACAUCAGCAGGACCCAGCACGCCUGAAGUCGGUUCCUGGGGAGCCUGUCCAGGCCUGCUGUCAGCAGUACAAAACCAAGCGGGAAGCAGGGAGGCACCCACCUGAACGGGGGUGAACGUCACAGAUGAGCCCAUCACACUUGUCGUCACGACGGCAAUUUCCAGGAACAACGCAAAAGAAUACAGAACAGUGGGCUGUAUUCAGAUGGCAAAAACAUCCCGGGCUUGACUGACUUUUGCCUCAUCUCUGGAAUUGUCAUUGGAAGAUGGGAGAAAAGGGACAGAUUCUGCUGGAUUUCUUUAAUACUUUGAAUGAUUGCAUCCCCCAAAAUCAUCCAGAUCAUGAUGUGUUACAGGCCACUCGGUAUCCUGCUCCUGACUGCUGGGGACAGCACGGCAGCUGAAGCUGGGCAGCAGGCCGCAGGCCGGGCCUCACACAGCCACAGUCGUUCCCAUCCGCCGCGGGAACAGCCUGGGCUCUCCUGAUGGCCCACGAUCUCCUCCGGUUCGGCACCUUCUGCCAGGCUGAAGGAAAGCAGCAGGUGGACACGAGACUCACCAUGUCUGUGUUACCUGGGGUGCUACAAGGCAGCGGCAGCUGCGGCCACCGCACAGGUGAGUGACUUGGGCUUGGGCACUGGGCGGAAAAUCACCAUCAGUGUCACAGCCACGGCCACCAGCACAGGAGCUGCUGGCCCCGGCCGCCUGGGGACCAUGGUGACCAGCACCUGAUCACUGCGACCGGCCACGGGGAAUGUACCUGCAUCGUGGAGAAGCUAUGCGAGGUGCUGGAGCCGCUGGACACUUCACCGUGAAGCCCUGGGAGGCACCGUGUUUGUUCAUGAAGGCCCAGAGGCCAGGAAGCCCCACCUCGGCGGGGCUGUGCCCUGGAGACGGGUCCGGCACCGGCUCGUUGACCUCAGUCCUAGAGCCCCGGCCUCGGAGGACAGGGGGUGGCGAAGGACAGCUCCGUGACGGCCAGCUCAGCCAGUGAGAACGUUAAUUAGGAGAAACUGGACAUCUGAUCUGAUACAUGGACCUCCAGAUUAUUCUCUGUACUUGGAUUCACAGCUUUUGUUCUUUGGGUUUGGGGGUCGGGGGGUGGGAUAGGAUGAAAGGAAAUUGAUGAAAAGGAAAGCUGUAUUGUCUGGGAUUUUUUUCAGUUCUGCAAGAGACAAAGUUUGGAAGUAUAUAAAGUAACAGCUGUUGGAAUUAGGUAAUGGAUGUGGGAGAGAAAUUGCUUUCUCAUACAGGGACCAGCUUUUGGGGUUUAAAAUAUGUAUAUAUAUAAAUACACUGUCAACUGGAUGCAAAUUUUUACUCAGCCUUCUAUUGGCUGUGAUUUCCUUUGAACUCGCACAUUAUUAUAGAUAACACUUCUUAACAGACUCCUAGCUAAUGUGCCAAACUGUGUUUUGAAUUCAUCUCCAGCCAACUACAGAGAAACUAUCUGAAAGAAAAUGGACCAGCACAGUUCUGUGGUAACAGCUUCACGACAGGCGCGAGCUUUGGUGGGAAGGGAGAUGGGUCCCCCCCCACGUGCUGUCGGGUGCUGGUGACAGUGGACAGUCUUCAGUAUGGGGGUGGGCGUGUGUUUACAUGUUUACUUUCUAUAUAUAAUUUCCCAGACGGAUGAGAACUGAACUGUCCCUGUGAAAUACGGAGCUCUGCCGGCACCAGGACGGGAAGUCGUCUUGUUUGGAUUGUGUCACACACGUGCACCAGGCCCAAAGCAGUGAGGGUCCGUGACACACCGAGGAGGCGCAGCCCGAGUCUCGCUGCUGGAAGGGACCCCCGUCAGCUCCUCACAGUCCCACGGACACGGUGUCACUCGCCUAAGGCUGGACUGCCCUCUCCCGGCUGGAAGGCUCGCUCUCCCAGGGUCAGUGAUGCCCGGUGAAGCUGCUGGCCCUGACUGCCCAGGCGCUUUAGUGCCCACCAGGGCCCAGAGAGCACAGAAACUCCGGCGACGCAGCGCGUCACUCCAGAGUCUGGGGGCUGAGCAAGCCACACCGACCAGAAGAGAGGUGUCCUUCCCCCAUGUUCCGGUUUGCUAAUGCUGCUGUUAUUCCAAAUACCAGAAAUGGACUGGCUUUCAUAAAGGGGGGUUAUUUGGUUAGAAAUUUACAGUCCUAAGGCCAUAAAGUGUCCAAACCGAGGCAUUAACAAGAGGAACCUUCACUGAAGAGCGCCGAUGGCUCUGGAACACUCUCUCAGCUGGGAAGGCUCGUGGCUGGCGUCUGCUCUUCCCAGGCUGCAUUUUAAAACGGCUUUCUCCAAAAUGUCUCUGGGCUCGUCUCAGCCUCUUCAGCUCCUCUGCAUCUAACCAUCUGGGGUCCUCUGAGCUUCUCUUAGCAUGGCCUCUCCACACGUCCUUCUGUCCGCGUCGCCAAGCAUCAGCUGUCAGUGGCCCUCCCCAGAUGCCCGCCUCUGCUCCCUGCGUGAGCUCCCUUUAAGGACACCUGCCCUGAAUGGGCGGGGUCAAGUCUCCACGGAAACAUUCAGUCGAGAGGUCACACCCUAAUCAAAAAUUAAUCAGUCUGCCCCCACAAGACUGCAUAAAAGAAUAUGGCUUUUUCUGGGGGACAUAAUAUAUGCAAACCAGCACACCUGGGUUCCUGCAGCGUGAAUCCCAGGUCGGUGGAGAGCCCUCCAAGGUCCAUCCUGCCCCAUCCAGGGUCGGGGGCUCUAACUGGCCGUCGUGACUCUGCUCGUUAGAAUCCCCCACUUGUCAUUCUGCUACUUUACAGAGAUGGCUCUUUAAAGUCUGCUUUGGCUCCCAUCUCGUAAAUAACGCCGAACAUAAACUCGUACUUAAACUGAGAGAACAGUCGCAAUUCUGCAGCACUGAAUAGCCAACCGAGACCUGUGCUUUUUUAUUUAAGAAUCCAGAAAUUGUGCCAAAGACUUCAGAAAAGUAAAUAAAUAAAUGCUCAGUCUUAACCACCUGCACCUGAAAUCUACAGAGCAUGAUGCCAAACUGGAAUGUAAACAUCUUAAAUAUUGACCAAGGAUUCCAACUGGAUUUCAAAAUGCAAAUAGUGGUGGUGUUUAUAGGGACUAAAUCUAAAUGUAAAUGAGAAAAAAAAGUAAAAUCAAAUCAGUCAUCAAAACCCUCCCAACAAAGAAAAACCCAGGGCAGAUGGCUUCACUGAUGAGUUCAUCCAAACAUUCCAAGAAGAAUUAACACUGAUCCUGCUGAAACUCUUCUAAAAAAUAGAACAGAGGGGGAGACAUCCUAACUCAUUGUGUGAGGCUAGUAUGAAAUGAUACCAGAGCCAGAUAAAGACAUCAGAAGAAAAAAAUUACAAACCAGUAACCCUUACGAAAUAGAUGCAAAAACCCUCAACAAGAUACUGGCACACCAACUCCAACAGUAUAUUAAAAAGAUUGUACACCAUGACCAAGUGGGAUUUAUCCCAGGAAUGCAAGGGUGGCUCAACAUAAAGUCAAUCAGUGUAAUAUACCACAUGAAUAGAACAAAGAGGAAAAAGCACAUAAUCAUCUCAAUCGAUACAGAGAAAGUAUCUGAAGAAAUCCAGUAUCCUCUCAUGCUAAGAAUUUUCAGAAAAAUAGGAUUAAAAGGGAACUUCCUAAAAACAAUAAUGGGCAUUUAUGAAAAACCCACAGCUACCAUUACACUCAAUUGAAACACUGAAAGCUUUCCCCUAAGAUCAGAAACAAGACAAGGAUACCCACUUUCACCACUGCUAUUCAACACUGUACUAGAAGAUUUAGCCAGAACAAUUGGGAUGACAAAAAAAAAAAACCGGCAUCCAAAUUGGAAA